rnacentral:rRNA from 1 species
UGCCCCAUAGUCUGGGAUACCACUUGGAAACAGGUGCUAAUACCGGAUAAGAAAGCGGAUCGCAUGAUCAGCUUUUAAAAGGCGGCGUAAGCUGUCGCUAUGGGAUGGCCCCGCGGUGCAUUAGCUAGUUGGUAAGGUAAAGGCUUACCAAGGCGAUGAUGCAUAGCCGAGUUGAGAGACUGAUCGGCCACAUUGGGACUGAGACACGGCCCAAACUCCUACGGGAGGCAGCAGAA